ACGGCCAUGUCACAUUGUAAACACCGGUUCUCGUCCAAUCUUCGAAGAUAAACAAGACGGGCCCGUUCAGUACUUGGAAGUGUGACCACUUGAAAACACCGGGUUA